GGCAACAGCUCAAAUUUGAAAUCUGGCUCUUUUAGAGUCCGAGUUGUAAUUUGCAGAGGGCGCUUUGGCUUUGGCAGCGGUCCAAGUUCCUUGGAACAGGACGUCACAGAGGGUGAGAAUCCCGUACGUGGUCGCUGGCUAUUGCCGUGUAAAGCCCCUUCGACGAGUCGAGUUGUUUGGGAAUGCAGCUCUAAAUGGGAGGUACAUUUCUUCUAAAGCUAAAUAUUGGCCAGAGACCGAUAGCGCACAAGUAGAGUGAUCGAAAGAUGAAAAGCACUUUGGAAAGAGAGUCAAACAGCACGUGAAAUUGUUAAAAGGGAAGCGCUUGCAGCCAGACUUGCUUGCAGUUGCUCAUCCGGGCUUUUGCCCGGUGCACUCUUCUGUAGGCAGGCCAGCAUCAGUUUGGGCGGUAGGAUAAAGGUCUCUGUCACGUACCUCCUUUCGGGGAGGCCUUAUAGGGGAGACGACAUACUACCAGCCUGGACUGAGGUCCGCGCAUCUGCUAGGAUGCUGGCGUAAUGGCUGUAAGCGGCCCGUCUUGAAACACGGACCAAGGAGUCUAACAUCUAUGCGAGUGUUUGGGUGUCAAGCCCGAGCGCGUAAUGAAAGUGAACGGAGGUGGGAACCCGCAAGGGUGCACCAUCGACCGAUCCUGAUGUCUUCGGAAGGAUUUGAGUAAGAGCAUGGCUGUUGGGACCCGAAAGAUGGUGAACUAUGCUUGAAUAGGGUGAAGCCAGAGGAAACUCU
rnacentral:rRNA from 1 species